UAGGGAAUCUUCCGCAAUGGGCGAAAGCCUGACGGAGCAACGCCGCGUGAGUGAUGAAGGUCUUCGGAUCGUAAAACUCUGUUAUUAGGGAAGAACAAAUGUGUAAGUAACUAUGCACGUCUUGACGGUACCUAAUCAGAAAGCCACGGCUAACUACGUGCCAGCAGCCGCGGUAAUACGUAGGUGGCAAGCGUUAUCCUGAAUUAUUGGGCGUAAAGCGCGCGUAGGCGGUUUUUUAAGUCUGAUGUGAAAGCCCACGGCUCAACCGUGGAGGGUCAUUGGAAACUGGAAAACUUGAGUGCAGAAGAGGAAAGUGGAAUUCCGUGUGUAGCAGUGAAAUGCGCAGAGAUAUGGAGGAACACCAGUGGCGAAGGCGACUUUCUGGUCUGUAACUGACGCUGAUGUGCGAAAGCGUGGGGAUCAAACAGG
rnacentral:rRNA from 1 species